rnacentral:rRNA from 1 species
CCCUUAGAUGUCCUGGGCUGCACGCGCGCUACACUGAUGUGUCCAGUAAGCACCUAACCUAUUCCGAGAGGAGCGGGUAACCUUAGCAAAGCACAUCGUGAUGGGGAUAGAUUAUUGCAAUUAUUAGUCUUGAACGAGGAAUUCCUAGUAAGCGCAAGUCAUUAGCUUGUGCUGAAUACGUCCCUGCCCUUUGUACACACCGCCCGUCGCUCCUACCGAUUGAGUGCUCCGGUGAACAAUUUGGACUGCUUUGAUUCGAUUAGAAUUUGAAGCGGAAAGUUUAGUGAACCUUAUCACUUAGAGGAAGGAGAAGUCGUAACA